UGUACACUUACAAUGGGUGAAUUUUAUGGUAUGUAAAUUAUACCUCAAUAAAGCUAUAAAAAGUAGAAUGUUUUAUGAAACAUCAAUACUCAACUCCCAGGACCCCACAGGAUUGUUUGAAAACCAGUGGGCUGUGUGGAUUCUGGAUGGCCUUCAGACUCUGCCCUUCUGGAAUUCUGAGUUCAUUUUUAGCACCUACUUGGUGCAGAUUGCUAUGGCUUAUAUGUGGACGAGGAUUCCAUCUUCUAUACUGUCAGCCCAGCCCCAGCACAGCGCCUGGCCCAAAGGAGGUUUAACUAACAAACGCUAAGUUGUUGUUAGUUGAGUGAAUGAACGCCUGGAGGAAUACCUUGUACAUUUUUUUUGAGGGUAUAUCAGACUUUGGGCUACUUGGGGGCAGGCCCUGCCUCUUCAUUUCUGAACCCCCAACUCCCAGCACAGACCCGGUGCAGAGUAAGUACUUGGUAAUGGUUUGUUGAAUAAAUUAAUGAGUGAAGGAAUAUAUGGCUCAGUUCCUGCUCAUGAGACAAGUGAAGGAGGCAAGAUAUCAGUGUGUACAUGCACACUGUGUGUUACUUAGGAUGCUUUGGUUGCAAGCAACAGACAAGAACUGUCACUUUCAGGCAAAUGAAAUUUACUGGGACGUUAUCAGCAAGAGGGCUUGUAGAUCAUGCCAUGGAAAGAAUGGAUCGAAAGCAGUCCCUGGGGUCUAGACAGCAGACCUGGCUCAUGUGUUUAGGAAACCUCUCUGGGAUGAAGCAGCUCUAACCAUUUUCAGUCCUUGUGUUAUUCCCCUCGAGAUUCAGCUCCCAAGAAGAGCAUCUAAUUGGCUUGGCUGGGGUCGGAUGCCCUCCCUUGGCCAAAAAUAGUUGGGCGCUUGUAUUGACAGUCUAUAAAGACUGCAUUUAGUGAAGCGGGGAGAAGCUCCAAACCAAAACUGGGUUCUGAUUCUAGAAGAAGGGGAUGCUGGGCAGAUCAGAACAAGUGUCCACCAGAAAGUUCCAUAACUGCAAAAGAUGGAAAUGAGAGUUGAAAGAAUUAAGAGAUGUCACCAAAGCUGGUAAAGCAGGGGAUGAAGAGUCAAAGCACCAGAAGCACAGCUGUCCUGCCAGCCCCUAAGUCAGCUCCAAGGGUGAGAAAUAGGAUGCAUUUCAGCCCCGAGGAAUGAACUCCUGGGACGUAUGUCUGUCAGGCAGAGUCUGGAGCACUUCCUAGAAAUCUUGACCUGUCGCCGUCAGUGGGGAAGGCUAAUUAAAGGAAAUAAAAGGCUGGUAGCCAGGAGAUUCCAACGUGCUGAGAAAACAAAGGCAGCCAACCUGCGAACUGCGAAGUCAGCUCUCAGCUUUGCCCCUGCCCCGCUCCCUCCACCACCCACCCAAACGCUCGCUCGUUUCUUCACCGGAUUUCCAGAUUUUGCACUACCAACCUACUCUUUGUUUACCCUGAUGGAUCAGCGGAGACAACCUUUGCAUAGGAGGCUAAUGCAGUAACCGAGGCCUCCGAGGCCAGCUCCCUCAACGGCUGGAGCUGUCUCUUCUUCAUCGUGUGUCCGAUGCAGGGCCAGGCAGCUGCCCGUGGUGGUUCAGAGUAAGGACAUGGAAAUGCAAAUGAAAACUACCAGACACGUCUAUUCCUUCAUCAGAAUGACUAACACUAAAAAGACUGACCAUAGCAAGUGUUGGUGAGGAUGUGGAAUGACUAAAACACUCAUACGCUUCUGAUGGGAAUGCAAAAUGAUACAGUACAGCACGUGGGAACACACUUUGGCAGUGUAUUAGAAAGUUAAAUGUGCACUUUACCAUAUGACCCAGCCAUCCACUCCUAGGUCCUUUCAAAAGUGAAAUGAAAACAGAUAUCUACUCAAAGACUUGUACACGAAUGCUCAGAGCAGCAUUAUUCAUGUAAGCCAAAAAGUGGAAGCAACUGAAAUGUCCAUCAAUAGCUGAAUGGAUCAACAAAAUGUGGUCUGUCUAUGCAAUGGAAUUAUAUUUGGCCAUAAAAAAGGAAUGAAGUACUGAUAGAUGUUAUAACGUGUAUGAACCUUGAAAACAUUCUGCCAAGUGAAAGAAGGGAGCGAUGAAAGACCACAUAUUGUAGGACUCCAUUUAGAUGAAAUGUCCAGAAUAGGCAAAUCUAUAGAGACACAAAGUAGAUUCAUGGCUGCCCGGGGCUGGAAGGAGGAAAGAAUGAGGAAUAACCACUAAUGGGUAGGGGCGUUUUUUUUGGGGUGCUGAAAAUGUUCUCAAAUUGAUUGUGGUGAUGCUUGCACAAGUCUGUGAAUAUAUUUUUAAAAAUGCUCAGUUGUAUACUUUAAAAGAGUGAAUUGGAUGGUAUGUGAGUUAUAGCUCAAUAAAGCAGGUACACGCACACGUACAUAGUGGCGAUGAGGACAUGACUCAAGCUUGACGCAAGCAGUCACGCAGCGCGAGGAGUCCCAUAAUUAGGCCUGCAGAUUGAAUCGGGCUGUGGAAUCUUGUUUGGCUGGCAGCGUUUGAAAACAUUAUUUGAUCUCUGUGCCUGUAGGCUGGGCAUGUGCUCUCCAGCCCGCUGUUAGGCACAUGGGAUUUACUCAUUUACACAACCUGCUUGGCUUGACAUGUCCACCCCUGCAGCAAGAUGGGGGACUCCAGGAAGCCCAGGCAGGGACCUGGCCCUGACCUGGAAUGAGCUUCUCUAGAAGCCACUGCACCUCGCUCUUUCACAAGUGUUAGAUCACGAGGUGCCACAGCACUGGCCGAUAGAGCUGCAGCAUUUCUGCACUGGCGGAGAGCGGACACUGGGGUGGGGCCCCACAGUCAGUGUGAGACUCAUCUGAUGUGCCAUUGCACCCUCUUUUGCAUAAAAGCAAUAGUGGGGAACGUUUAUGGAGCGCUUACUAUGUGCCAGCACAUGUGUAAACCUGGUAUGUAUGUGGCGUCUCAUUUAAUCUCCACCACAACCCUAAAGGGGACGUCCCAGUAUUACACCCCUGUGUACCCACUGGUGGUUGUGUCCCUUGCUUAAGGCCACCCAGCUGUAAGUGGUGGGAUGGGGACUGGAACUCCAGUCGGUCAGGCUCCAGACCCGCAGGUGGCCUCGCUGGGGUCACAAUGGCAGAGCCGGAAGGGCCUGAAGUGUCACCUGCUCACAGGACUUGCCCGAGGGUCAGACAGCCAGAAGUGGGCUAUUCAGCCCCGUGACUCUCAGGCCAGUCCCCCUGGCUGCAGAUCAGGAGCACAGAGGAGCAGGGUGUUCACCCCACGACGGCGAGAAGAAGGGGAGAGAAACACCACAGGCAUUUCUGUCCUGAAGAGUUAGAUUUGGAAAAUCACCAGGCAGAAAGGGGACUUUACAUUGAGAGGAUGGGAGGGAAGGAAGGAAGAAGAAAGUCUUUUUGGCUCAAUAUUUAGAAUAUUUAGAUGAGUGGUUUUAUUUCGUGGUUGGUUGGGUGUCUUUCGGGGUCAUUAAUAAUGGAUAAGUCAUAGGUUCAGGUGCCUGUUGGAAGUAGUUCCUGAACUUUCUUAUUGAAGAAAACCCCAGCAGCCAGGCAUUUAGCUCCUGAGAUCCCGGCCCGUCCCAUUCUUCUUUGACCCCGCCUCCCCCCCCCCCCCCCGCAUCUUCCACUCUACCUCCCAUUUGAGCAGACUCAAAACCAAAAUCUCAAUUUUGAAAGCUUUAUCUAUUUAAGAGAUAUUGGGUUGGGCCCACUCUUAGAGAUAGCUACAGAUCAUUUUUCUAUGUACACUUCAUUUUCAUCUUCACGUAAUAAGUCCAAAAAGUCAGUUUGCGUCACUGCCAGGUAGUACUGGUAAGAGUAGCUGGCGUUGUUGAGUGCACAGUCCCUGCCAGCUGCCAUGCUAGCUCUGGGCACGUUAUCAUCAGACUGCUCAAUGUCCUUGCAAGGUUAGCGCUGCUUCCUCCAUUUCACAGGUGAGCAACCUAUGACUUAGGGAGGUCAUGUCACACAAGGGCAAAUAAGUGUGAGCUCUCGAAUUCUCCAGUCUUUGAGAUUGCAUACUUUUUCUUUUUAUCUGUUUUGGCCUUUGCUGAUGGCUGCUGAUAGGGCUUUCUACAGUUGGGCCAACUUUCCCUACCCAGCUCUUCAACAAACAUUCCAGGUGGACUUAUCGCCCUGUGGGUUAUAUGGGAAGUUCUCCUUCAUUUCAUCUGUAUUACAGCCUAAAAAACAGAACAACAGAAAGUUGUAUUCAUAAAAA
rnacentral:lncRNA from 1 species